rnacentral:rRNA from 1 species
ACGGAAGGCAGCAGUGGGGAAUAUUGGGCAAUGGGCGAAAGCCUGACCCAGCAACGCCGCGUGAGGGAAGAAGGUUUUCGGAUUGUAAACCUCUGUCCUUGGUGAAAAGGAGAAGAUGGUAACCGAGGAGGAAGCCCCGGCUAACUACGUGCCAGCAGCCGCGGUAAUACGUAGGGGGCGAGCGUUGUCCGGAAUGAUUGGGCGUAAAGGGCGCGUAGGCGGUCCGUUAAGUCUGGAGUGAAAGUCCUGCUUUUAAGGUGGGAAUUGCUUUGGAUACUGAUGGACUUGAGUGCAGGAGAGGUUAUCGGAAUUCCCAGUGUAGCGGUGAAAUGCGUAGAGAUUGGGAAGAACACCAGUGGCGAAGGCGGGUAACUGGACUGCAACUGACGCUGAGGCGCGAAAGUGUGGGGAGCAAACAGGAUUAGAUACCCUGGUA